UUGAGCGUCGUCACUGGGUUGUUCUGAUGGGAGCAGUGGCGGGCGGUGCGUUGGGAGCCGGCGGUGGAACCCGUGUCUUUGUGGGCACUCGAGUGCUCUUUGGUAAGGCGUGUUGGAGAUGGUCAGCUAGUUGUUUGGCUUGUCUGGAUCCAGAGCAAUUUUGUGGUGUUUGUCAGUUGGGAAGCUGCUUUGUGGGCGACAGGACGGCGGUUGCCGGCAGGUCACCGCUGGCCGAGAGGAUUCGCCGCGGGUUCGUUCACCUGAGAUCCAGGGUUCGAAUCUCGCAAGGAGAAAUGCAUUUGUAUUCAAUGUACUGUACCGCACUAACCAAUGAAUGCUGCGCUAUGCUUGUCACUAACCCUAACCAAUUCUCGAUGUUUGUCACUAACCCUAACCAAGUAAUGCUGGCACAACGUGUGUCACUGAUCCUAAGCAAAUGUCAUGAGUAAUGUAAUCAACCUUU